UUUAUCAGUGGGGAUCCGUUUAUUUCAGGAUUCCCCGGGCCGAGAUAUUUAUCAGUGGGGAUCCGUUUAUUUCAGGAUUCCCCGGGCCGAUUCAGAUGGUAAUGGUGUGUCCGCUCAGAGACCAGUGAUGAUGAUGAUGUAUCUGUCUUCCGUUUAUUUCGGAACCCGUGGGUCAGAUUGGUUACAUUUCUCCUCAGAUGGUAAUGAUCAGUCCAGAGGCCAGAUUCAGUACAGAGG
rnacentral:lncRNA from 1 species